rnacentral:rRNA from 1 species
CCUACGGGAGGCAGCAGUGGGGAAUCUUAGACAAUGGGGGAAACCCUGAUCUAGCCAUGCCGCGUGAGUGAAGAAGGCCCUAGGGUCGUAAAGCUCUUUCGCCAGGGAAGAUAAUGACGGUACCUGGUAAAGAAACCCCGGCUAACUCCGUGCCAGCAGCCGCGGUAAUACGGAGGGGGUUAGCGUUGUUCGGAAUUACUGGGCGUAAAGCGCACGUAGGCGGGCUGGAAAGUUGGGGGUGAAAUCCCGGGGCUCAACCCCGGAACUGCCUUCAAAACUCCCAGCCUUGAGUUCGAGAGAGGUGAGUGGAAUUCCGAGUGUAGAGGUGAAAUUCGCAGAUAUUCGGAGGAACACCAGCGGCGAAGGCGGCUCACUGGCUCGAUACUGACGCUGAGGUGCGAAAGUGUGGGGAGCAAACAGGAUUAGAUACCCUGGUAGUCCACACCGUAAACGAUGAAUGCCAGACGUCGGGCAGCAUGCUGUUCGGUGUCGCACCUAACGGAUUAAGCAUUCCGCCUGGGGAGUACGGUCGCAAGAUUAAAACUCAAAGGAAUUGACGG